AUUUUUCAUUAUUUUAUUGCAGAUGCCAUAUCAGAAAGCUAUGAUGAUGUUGUCAUCAUAAGACGUAUGCAGUCUGAAGGAGUAGAUGAUGAGAGAAAUAUCAGUGAAGAUGCGAGAGACUUGUUAGCAGGCUAUGAUUAUUUGAAGGAGGAGCCAAGAAAACAGGGAGGGGCUAUGUUCAGUUUGUGACCACACCCACCACCACCACAGUCUUAUACAGCUUUUAAUUGUCUCAACAAUGAUUUUAAAUGAUACAUACUAUUAAGCUUUAGUUUCAGUCCACCAUUGUUACAGUUGAAGCAUUAAUAGAAAACAUGGACUUCAAUUCAAAACAUGCAGCAAACAAACUGGAAAUAUAGAACAGAUAAAUAGACGGUAUUUUAUUAUCUUGUAUUUUAUUAUCUUGUAUUAUUAUUGUAUUAUGAUUAUUUAAAAAAAGCUCUAUCAUAUCAUCAUCAGUAAUGUUUCAAGCUCUGCACAUGCAUCAAGUUUCUGAGGGUCAGAAGCCCAUACAAGACAAAAUGACCAACAUGUACUUCUGCUCAAUGAAAACAUUUAUUUUAUUGAAAGGAAAGAUUAUUGCACAUGUUUUUUUUGUAAAUGUAUUCUGAACUUAUAAGUG